rnacentral:rRNA from 1 species
UACAGAGGGUGCGAGCGUUAAUCGGAGUUACUGGGCGUAAAGGGCGCGUAGGCGGUGAUGUGAGUGCGAUGUGAAAGCCCUGGGCUUAACCUGGGAAGUGCAUCGUAAACUGCAUUGCUGGAGUAUAUGAGAGGGUGGCGGAAUUUCCGGUGUAGCGGUGAAAUGCGUAGAGAUCGGAAGGAACGUCGAUGGCGAAGGCGGCAUCCUGGACCAAUAUUGACGCUGAGGAGCGAAAGCCAGGGGAGCAAACGGG